CAAAGGACAAGCAUUACUACAAUCAAUAUGAUCGACUACCUAAUAGAUUACGCCCGCGUCGACGGAUAUGUUAUGUCAUCAUGACCAAUAAUUCCCCCCCGAGCAAAGGUUUAUGCGAUCGCCAUCUUUUACAAUUCACAAUAAUAUUAUAUUUCUGACUACGGGUUAACGGCCAAUCAGAUCACGUUUUCCCUUAUCGCCAAAAACGUCGGCCCGCGACUACGUGUGCCACGAACGUCUCCGCGCUCCGCUGCCUAGUUUUCGUUUUUUUGUUCGUUUCUUUCCUACUUCGUGUCGACCUCGUCUCAAGACUUUGUCACCAGACGGUCUUUCGAUACAGUUCUCUUAAUAAAACACUCCCGUGUAUUACACGGAUUCACAUAUUUUGCCGUCAAGAAAAGGUCGUGUACCUUGGUAUGUUUCAUGAUGGUGCCUCAAACGAACUAAUGAAGUGAGUCUCGAUCUGGUCUGCUGGGCGGAACGAAUGGUAAUAUGUAUUUGAUUUAAUAAUUAGCCGAUACCCCGUUAGUUAGUUUUUAAGAUAAUUCAGUUAAGGUUCACCCCGUUAUUAUAUUAUAUACAUAUAUCUAAAAUGUUUCUUUUUUUCUCGUAUAUUAAAUUCUUCCUAUAUACUUAUGGGAAUCAACCAACUAGAUGCGUGUAUGCGUGUAUCCGUUUCAUUAUACUAUGUGCGAUAGGCCAAACCCCCCCGCAUUUUGUUUUUUUAUUCCUUUAAGUUCUAGGUUUCGCAACCACAUGUGUGAGCAUUUAAAAAAGGAAUAUAUAUAUAUAUGUAUUGAUCGAUCUUCCCCAUUUCGCGAUCCAUAUUCGGACACGCACCUCGCAGGUUCACUCGUAAGGCCACCGAAACUACGGACCAGUCAAUAUGGAAUAAAAAGCGUUUCCGCUACCCUUCCCGAUGGUAAUUUGUGUGACCUGGCAACCGCACAUUUCUGCCGGGAUCUCCCCAAUACACAAGGUGCUCACGAAAGUUCCACGUGGGGAUCCGUCUGGCUCAAUACCCAUGUCGGUCAGCACACACACGUGAAUGUGGAUUCAUCCUUAUCAAUAAAUAUUAAUAAGUCUCGGCCUGCACGCUCCCCGUCAUGUCAAUAACUGCGUCCGGACAACACUUUUAAGACUGGUUGGCGCC